UACGUAGGGUGCAAGCGUUAAUCGGCAUUACUGGGCGUAAAGCGUGCGCAGGCGGUUGUGCAAGACCGAUGUGAAAUCCCCGGGCUUAACCUGGGAAUUGCAUUUGUGACUGCACGGCUAGAGUGUGUCAGAGGGGGGUAGAAUUCCACGUGUAGCAGUGAAAUGCGUAGAUAUGUGGAGGAAUACCGAUGGCGAAGGCAGCCCCCUGGGAUAACACUGACGCUCAUGCACGAAAGCGUGGGGAGCAAACAGG
rnacentral:rRNA from 1 species